rnacentral:lncRNA from 1 species
UUUAAAUGAGUAGUUAUUGUUGCAAACUCCAUUAGAAAUUUGAAUUGAGAUCAGUUUUGGAAAAAGGGGAAAGGGGGGGGGGGUAAAUUUUUCUCAUUUCAGAUUUCAUAAAUAAAAAGAAAAUUUCUUCAAACAUUUUUUUGAGAGGAUUAAUAUUCAACAGCAUAGUGAAUUGCUCAAAGGCAAAAAAAAUAUUUUAAGUCUCAUUAGACCACAUUCAUUCUGUGUCAGAAACCUAUGCUGUGUCAACUAUUUAAUCACAAUCCAAAUUUAGAGCUGAAUCCAGCUUGAAUGUUGUGUCCAUACUUGCCCCAACCGUUCAGGGUUCAACCUCUGCGGUCGUAUAAAGCUGCGCCCUGCAGAGCAUCUGGUUA